UUAGUCAUAGUUGUGAAGCUAGUGCAGUUGGUUUGGCCUUUCAAUAGGCGCUAGGGUGGGUGUUUGAAUCCCAGCGCAUGCAUUUGAUAUUUUAACAUUUUUCUCACUUUUUUGACAUGUAUAUAUACGUUUUUUUCUCUUUUUUUUUUGGUUUUUCAGUUUUUAAUUUUUUCUAUAGUUUCUUUCUUUUAAGUAUGUAGUUUCUUUCUUGUUUCUAUAAUUUCUUUUUUUUAAUACUUAUAGUUUCUUUCUUUUAAG
rnacentral:lncRNA from 1 species